UACGUAGGGAGCAAGCGUUGUCCGGAAUCAUUGGGCGUAAAGCGCGCGUAGGCGGCCCGGUAAGUCCGUUGUGAAAGUCAAAGGCUCAACCUUUGAAUGCCGAUGGAUACUGCCGGGCUCGAGUCCGGAAGAGGCGAGUGGAAUUCCUGGUGUAGCGGUGGAAUGCGCAGAUAUCUGGAGGAACACCGGUGGCGAAGGCGGCAUCCUGGACCGGUAUUGACGCUGAGGCGCGAAAGCCAGGGGAGCAAACGGG
rnacentral:rRNA from 1 species